rnacentral:rRNA from 1 species
GAUGAACGCUGGCGGCGUGCCUAAUACAUGCAAGUCGAGCGAACAGACCAGGAUCUUGCUCCGCUGACGUUAGGGGCGGACGGGUGAGUAACACGUGGAUAACCUACCUAUAAGACUGGGAUAAUUUCGGGAAACCGGAUCUUAUACCGGAUGAUAUAUUGAACCGCAGUGUGCAAUAGUGAAAUACGGUUUUGCUGUCAGUUAUAGAUGGAUCCUCGCCGCAUUAGCUAGUUGGUAAGGUAACGGCUUACCAAGGCAACGAUGCGUAGACGACCUGAGAGGGUGGUAGCCCACCUUGGAAGGGAGACAGGCACCAUACUACUGAGGGACGGCACAGUAGCGAAUCUUACGCAAUGGGGGAAAGCCUGACGGAGCAACGCGGCGUGAGUGAUGACGGUGUUCCGAUCGGAAAACUCUGUUACUGGGGAAGAACAAAUGUGUCAGUAACUAUGCCGGUAUUGACGGUACCUAGUCAGAAAGCACCGGCUAACUACGUG